GAUGAAGAACGCAGUGAAAUGCGAUAAGUAGUGUGAAUUGCAGAAUUCCGUGAAUCAUCGAAUCUUUGAACGCACAUUGCGCCUUCUGGUAUUCCGGAAGGCAUGCCUGUUCGAGAGUCAUUAACAACCGUUUCGAUCCCUUUCUUUCAGAAAUUACAAAGAGGAAAAGGGUUUGGUUAUGGUGGAGGAGGGAAAGGGAGCGUUUAGCCUGUAAACAAAGAGGCUGUGUUCCGCCUCCCCCCCAAAAUUGUACAGGCGGUCGUGUGCGCCCACGCAUCGAGGUGUUGUAAAAGCUGCCACGGCACUUUUCACCUGUGCAGUGCGAGAUUGGCCAGCCGGUUUAAAAACCCCUCCAAACAAUCAAAGGUUGACCUCGGAUCAGGUAGGGAUACCCGCUGAACUUAAGCAUAUCAAUAAGCGGAGGA
rnacentral:misc_RNA from 1 species